UCCUCCUUGUUUCAGCCGGCAGAGCGGCGAAUCGUCAAUCCGUAUGGCACGGGUUCGAGCCCAGCAGGAGGAGCCA
rnacentral:tRNA from 1 species